rnacentral:rRNA from 1 species
GAUGAACGCUGGCGGCGUGCCUAAUACAUGCAAGUCGAGCGAACAGGCGAGGAGCUUGCUCCUCUGACGUUAGCGGCGGACGGGUGAGUAACACGUGGAUAACCUACCUAUAAGACUGGGAUAACUUCUGGAAACCGGAGCUAAUACCGGAUAAUAUAUUGAACCGCAUGGUUCAAUAGUGAAAGACGGUUUUGCUGUCACUUAUAGAUGGAUCCGCGCCGCAUUAGCUAGUUGGUAAGGUAACGGCUUACCAAGGCAACGAUGCGUAGCCGACCUGAGAGGGUGAUCGGCCACACUGGAACUGAGACACGGUCCAGACUCCUACGGGAGGCAGCAGUAGGGAAUCUUCCGCAAUGGGCGAAAGCUUGACGGAGCAACGCCGCGUGAGUGAUGAAGGUCUUCGGAUCGUAAAACUCUGUUAUUAGGGAAGAACAAAUGUGUAAGUAACUAUGCACGUCUUGACGGUACCUAAUCAGAAAGCCACGGCUAACUACGUG